rnacentral:tRNA from 1 species
UUGGGGAUGUGGCUCAGUGGUAGAGCACUAGUCUAGCAUUCUGGAAGGCUCUGGGUUAGACUCCUAGCCCACUAAA